AUCACCGUUUCUGCGGUGGACGAUUUCGUCGGUGGUAGGCUGCUACCAUGAGGUUGAAUCAGAACACCUUGCUGCUGGGGAAGAAGGUGGUCCUUGUACCCUACACCUCGGAGCAUGUGCCCAGUUUUCCGUUUGAGGGUUCCUGGUGCCCUAACUUUGUGGGAUCUGUCCAGCCGCCUUUGUUGAGGUCGGCUUGCCAUAUACAUCCCCUUCCGGAAUUUGAAGAAUGUUUGGUUUCGGACUGCUCCUCCGCACUGACCCAAUACAGGAUAGGAAGUUGGACAGAUAGAACUGACUCCUGCUGUUCUUGUCAGGUACCACGAGUGGAUGAAAUCAGAGGAGCUGCAGCGUUUGACAGCCUCAGAGCCGCUGACCCUGGAGCAGGAGUAUGCCAUGCAGCGCAGCUGGCGGGAAGAUGCAGACAAGUGUACCUUCAUUGUGCUGGAUGCCGAGAAGUGGCAGGCCCAGCCAGGCACCACUGAAGAGAGCUGCAUGGUGGGAGAUGUGAACCUCUUCCUCACGGAUCUAGAAGACCCCACCUUGGGGGAGAUCGAGGUCAUGAUUGCAGAGCCCAGCUGCAGGGGUAAGGGCCUUGGCACUGAGGCCGU
rnacentral:sRNA from 1 species